UGAUAUUGUCCAGAUGAGUAUUCUCAGGCGCUUGAGAGAACUCGGGAGAAGGAACUCGGCAAAUUGACACCGUAACUUCGGAAGAAGGUGUGCCUUUAGUAGGUGAACCCGUACAGGGGGAGCCCAAUGAGGUUGCAAAGAAUCGGUGGCUGCGACUGUUUAAUAAAAACACAGCACUCUGCAAACACGAAAGUGGACGUAUAGGGUGUGACGCCUGCCCGGUGCUGGAAGAUUAAGUGAUGGGGUGCAAGCUCUUGAUCGAAGUCCCAGUAAACGGCGGCCGUAACAAUAACGGUCCUAAGGUAGCGAAAUUCCUUGUCGGGUAAGUUCCGACCUGCACGAAUGGCGUAACGAUGGCCACACUGUCUCCUCCCGAGACUCAGCGAAGUUGAAAUGUUUGUGAUGAUGCAAUCUCCCCGCGGAAAGACGGAAAGACCCCAUGAACCUUUACUGUAGCUUUGUAUUGGACUUUGAACGGAUCUGUGUAGGAUAGGUGGGAGGCUUUGAAGCAGGGUCGCUAGAUCUUGUGGAGCCAACGUUGAAAUACCACCCUGGUGCGUUUGAGGUUCUAACCUAGGCCCGUUAUCCGGGUCGGGGACAGUGCAUGGUAGGCAGUUUGACUGGGGCGGUCUCCCCCCAAAGCGUAACGGAGGAGUUCGAAGGUACGCUAGUUACGGUCGGACAUCGUGACGAUAGUGCAAUGGCAUAAGCGUGCUUAACUGCGAGACUGACAGGUCGAGCAGAUGCGAAAGCAGGACAUAGUGAUCCGGUGGUUCUGUAUGGAAGGGCCAUCGCUCAACGGAUAAAAGGUACUCUGGGGAUAACAGGCUGAUACCGCCCAAGAGUUCAUAUCGACGGCGGUGUUUGGCACCUCGAUGUCGGCUCAUCUCAUCCUGGGGCUGUAGCCGGUCCCAAGGGUAUGGCUGUUCGCCAUUUAAAGAGGUACGUGAGCUGGGUUUAAAACGUCGUGAGACAGUUUGGUCCCUAUCUUCCGUGGGCGCUGCAGAUUUGAGGAAGCCUGCUCCUAGUACGAGAGGACCGGAGUGGACGCACCUCUGGUGUACCUGUUGUCACGCCAGUGGCAUUGCAGGGUAGCUAAGUGCGGAAGAGAUAACCGCUGAAAGCAUCUAAGCGGGAAACUCGUUUCAAGAUGAGAUCUGCCGGGGCCUUGAGCCCCCUGAAGAGUCGUUCUAGACCAGGACGUUGAUAGGCUGGGUGUGGAAGCGCAGUAAUGCGUUAAGCUAACCAGUACUAAUUGCUCGUGCGGCUUGACCCU
rnacentral:rRNA from 1 species